rnacentral:lncRNA from 1 species
GACUUCCGGCGUAUCCUCCCGACCUCCGGCGGCGUCCGACUUCGCUCCCUGCUGUGCUCUCCUGGUCGUGCUUUCUCUGCCCCCGGCCUGCCCUGUUUUCUCGCUCACUGAAGCCGCAGCCCCAGCAUGAUCCAGUUCCUUUGGCAGAAUGAUUUGUGGGAAUUAAAAGAACUAACAUUGCUGAAUAUCUGCUGUGUGCCUGAUGCUUUCACAUGCCUUGUAAGCAUCGUCUGCGUCCUAGCGUCCAUGUCAACCAUUGUAGAUCAACACUGAUGGCUGGUGGUGACAGUCUGAAGUUCAAAAAGUAUGACAGUCUCUAGGUGCAUCCAUGGUGCUGCAAAUGGCCUUAUUUCGUUCUUUUUUACUGCCGGGUCGUAUAUUCCAUCGUGUAUAUGUGCCACAGCCUCUUCAUCCGUUCCUCUGUCCACGGACACUUAGUAGAUUUUUUAACUUACCGGACAUCAGUGUUGGGAAAGGUGGAACCGGACCCGGAACCAAGCCGGGCAGAGUGGCAGCCUGGAGAUGGCGCUGGCUGCCGAGGCUCUUUCUGUGGGGCUGCACAUGGAAGUGACAGUGCUCAAACAGCCGCUGCUCUAGCGAAGCUGCUCAUCCUAGGGGGUCGCGAACCGCUGCCCACCCCCCACCACUGGGACCAGCGUGCCAGAGAGGAAGGUCCUCUCCCCGCCGAGUGUCUCCACCCAAGCCGAGGACACUGCGCGGUGGGUGGGAAGCUAGUGCUGUGCUGAGGCCUGAGCCCCUGGCUGGCGUCCACCGCCCUCUGCACCGUGACCCAGGCGGCGUGAAGAAGGUUCUCCCUCCGGAGGAGAUGGAGCAGGUUUCCGUCAAGCCUGGCACGAAGACGUCUCUGACGACGGUGGUGAAGGAGACCUCCUACCUGAUGAUGAUGCAAGGCAUGUCCCACAUGCUGGCCCACCCGCUGCAUGUCAUCUCAGCGCGCUGCAUGGUCCAGUUCGUGGGAGGAAGGCCAAGUACAGCGGAAAGUUGAGCUCCAUUGGGAAGAUUUUCACAGAAGAGGGGCUGCUGGGAUUCUUUGUCGGCUUGAUCCCUUACCUCCUGGGAGGUGUGGUUUCCUUGCAGGGCUGUAACCUGCUGGCCUGCUUCCUCAGUGCCUACCUGGUGGGUGACACUCCAGGGGGGCUGGAGAACGACCAGAAUCCAGGUUCCCGGUUCAGCCAGGCCCUAGCCAUCCAGAGCCACCCCAGAUAUGUGAUGGGGAUGGCAGUGAGCGUACUGACCUACCCCUUCCUGCUGGUGGGCGGUCUCAUGGCUGUGAACACCUGCAGGCUGGGCCGCCGCCUCACUCCUCAGUGUUGGAAUCCGGAUCCGCUGCUGUAAGGACCCGAGUGUGCAGGGCCAGUUCUUCCGAAGCUCCAGCCUCCUUCUCUGCCGGGCGUCAUCAGGAUCAUACCUUGCCCUGGAGUAACCUGAAUCACCUAAAAAAGCACACUGUCUCGGCCAGGACACCGUGGGUGAGGCCUGACCAUCGUGGGACACGUGUAAGAUGACCAGCCCAGCAAGACCUAGAUGUGCUCCAGGCCAGCUGGACUUCAGUUUCCGUAGGUGCCAUGCGUCUGUCCAGAAGCAGGGGCUGGGUGGCAGUGAGACUGCGUCCAGUGCAUUGGUCACUGUUAGGCCUGGGGAAGGUGGGGCAGGAUCCCCUGGCUUUGCAGAUUUCCCGAGUCUGCCUCGUGCAGGGGGCCAGAGAAUGGCUCGUGGAGCCUGAGGUUGGAUGAGCAAAGGCUCGUGAGGUCAGAUCCCAGCUCCCAUUCACAGCCCUCAGGUCAGCCCCCCUCUUAUCCUGCAGCUCAGCUGGGAGCUUCGCUCUCCAGCUUUGUAAAUAGGGUGUGAUCCCUUUUCAGGAGCCACCGUCAUGUCCAGGCCUUUGCUAGGAGGUUGUCUUCGUUUUUCUCAACACUGCUUUUCUGAUAAGGCAGCACCUUCUGAAUGGAAACCGUGUGACUGCUCAGAAUGUGUCCCCCUUGUCAAAUGCUCGUCGGUUUCAUGAUGACGCCUCACGUGCAGGAUAUGGUUACUUGUGUGGCUGUGAACACCCAGAUGUUAGGUAGAUCAGUGUCUCUAGUCCUAUCCAGUUGGAAGUUCCUAAUAAGAUUUGACCCUUUUCCCCUCAAAUAAAUGCAUUGGUGGUGAUUUCGAAGAAAGUAAAAUAAAGUUGCCAGGUCUUUUAACACCAUUUAUGAGAAACGUAAAUGGUAACAGACCCAGAUUGUGGGACUGCAUGGGCUAAAAGAAAUGCCUUUAUAAUUUAGUAAGGCAAAUAUUAUUGUUUAAAAUUAUUUGUAUAUUAUAAAAUUUAUAGUAUUUAAUUUUUAAACAGCUGAUUUUUUUAAGUCUCUACAUAUCUUUUAGUGGAAGAUAAUCAAUUACCAUUAAACUGAAAUUUUAAAUAAGCAC